UGAGGAAUAUUGGUCAAUGGGCGCAAGCCUGAACCAGCCAAGUAGCGUGCAGGAAGACGGCCCUAUGGGUUGUAAACUGCUUUUAUACGAGAAUAAUUUGAUGCACGUGUGCGUUAUUGCAUGUAUCGUAUGAAUAAGGACCGGCUAAUUCCGUGCCAGCAGCCGCGGUAAUACGGAAGGUCCAGGCGUUAUCCGGAUUUAUUGGGUUUAAAGGGAGUGUAGGCGGUUUGUUAAGCGUGUUGUGAAAUUUAGGUGCUCAACAUUUAACUUGCAGCGCGAACUGUCAGACUUGAGUACACGCAACGUAUGCGGAAUUCAUGGUGUAGCGGUGAAAUGCUUAGAUAUCAUGAAGAACUCCGAUUGCGAAGGCAGCAUACGGGAGUGUAACUGACGCUUAAGCUCGAAGGUGCGGGUAUCGAACAGGAUUAGAUACCCUGGUAGUCCGCACAGUAAACGAUGGAUGCCCGCUGUUAGCGCCUGGCGUUAGCGGCUAAGCGAAAGCAUUAAGCAUCCCACCUGGGGAGUACGCCGGCAACGGUG
rnacentral:rRNA from 1 species